GUAUGUAAAAAUGGAUCGGCUACCUCUUUAAUACUAUCUAUCACUUAUCUUUAUUACUACUAUUCAAUAAUAUUAGUGAUAUUAUUACAAACUAAUACUAUAUAAUAUUAAGGAUCAUGUGAUCAAGGCAAGAGCAAGUGUCUACAUCAUCCUUCCUUUACAUUGAGUAGUAUUAAUAAUAAUUAACGUACGUAUAAAGUACGUGUAUGUACUUUUCUUCUCAGCUGAUUCUCUCUUGGGAAACUGUUUAGUACAGUGUUGCAGUAUAUGAGAGUCGGACAGUUCGAAGUUGUUAAUUGCAAUGUCUAAUCAAGCUACAAUCCCGAAUGGAGUCAAGUUUCUCUUUGGCGGAACCGCCGGAAUGGCUGCCACAUGCUUUGUACAACCCCUUGAUUUAGUCAAAAACCGAAUGCAGGUCAUGAAAUUAGGCGAAGGAGAGGCACGACCCUCUUCCCUGGGUGUUAUUAGCAAAAUUGUCAAAAACGAGGGAUUUGCCACUCUCUACAGCGGAUUGAGUGCAGGUCUUUUAAGACAGGCUACCUAUACGACCACAAGACUUGGCGUCUACACCUUCCUUCUGGAAAAGUUAUCCAAUAGCGAUGGCUCAUCCAUGAGCUUUUUCAAAAAGGCCGCUCUAGGAAUGACGGCAGGGGCCUGUGGAGCAUUCAUUGGAACUCCUGCUGAAGUAUCCCUCAUUCGUAUGACCUCGGAUGGUAACCUUCCUGCUAGUCAAAGAAGAAAUUAUAAGAAUGUCUUCGACGCUCUUGCCAGAAUGGUCAAGGAAGAGGGUAUAACAACCCUUUGGAGAGGAGCUAUCCCAACAAUUGGUCGUGCCAUGGUGGUCAAUGCAGCUCAACUUGCAUCUUAUUCACAAGCUAAAGAGUUUAUCAUUAAGCAAGGCUAUGUUCAAGAUGGUCUUUUAUGUCAUUUCCUUGCUAGCAUGUUUUCUGGAUUGGUUACAACUGCUGCCUCAAUGCCUGUUGACAUUGCAAAGACUCGCAUUCAAAGCAUGAAGAUCAUUGAUGGAAAGCCUGAGUAUAAGGGAGCCCUUGAUGUCAUCUUGAAAGUAGCUAAAAACGAAGGUUUCUUUUCUUUGUGGAAAGGAUUCACUCCCUAUUACUUUAGACUUGGUCCCCAUACCGUUCUAACUUUUGUCUUUCUUGAGCAAAUGAAUAAGAAUUAUAAAAAACAUGUUUUACAUCUAGAGAACGCCACUGGAGGACUCUAAGCGUGGAUUAAAAACUCAUCUCAAUUAAAGUUUUUGUUUCUAUUUUGUAUAAAUAAACAUGUUCAAAAGGUUUUAAAAUUGGCUUUCGUUCCUUAGAUUUAGAUGUACAUUUAGCAAAUCGAUCACAUGCUAACAAAACUUAGUAUUUAUUGGUUCAUCUAAUACGUUAUAAAUAUGCCAUGUUACCUAUCAAUUUAUGCAUAUUGUAUGCUAUUGUAAUCAUUUUAUAUCAACCAAAGCGAGUUGUUAAAUUCAAUUGCUGUUUUUAAAUAGUGACUAAGUAAUCGUAAUGUCCCUCAAUUUACACAAUUGUCAAAGAAAAAAAAGUAUCAUGAACUGUAAAUAUUUUAUAAAAUUAUAUUUGAAUGUCUUAUUAACUUAAACACUAAGACUUUGAUGUAUUAAUCACUGAUAAAUUGAAAUAAUUCUAGCAAAUUAGAAGCGUAUAUUUCCUCGCGAUAUCUAAAUUCUAUUUUCACGAGAAAAAAUAAGAGUUAUGGAGCAACAUAUUCUAUCUUUUACUCAGAAUAUCAAAUUAUAUAAAUAUAUUUUAUUGUGUUUCUUAAAUAAAAUAAAAUAAAAGAGUCAACAUUAAA
rnacentral:misc_RNA from 1 species